GAUGAACGCUAGCGGGAGGCCUAACACAUGCAAGCCGAGCGGGAUUUCAGAUGUAGCUUGCUACAUUUGAAUGAGAGCGGCGCACGGGUGCGGAACACGUGUGCAACCUGCCUUUAUCUGGGGGAUAGCCUUUCGAAAGGAAGAUUAAUACCCCAUAAUAUAUUUGAUGGCAUCAUUAAUAUUGAAACUCAGGUGGAUAAAGAUGGGCACGCGCAAGAUUAGAUAGUUGGUAGGGUAACGGCCUACCAAGUCUACGAUCUUUAGGGGGCCUGAGAGGGUGAUCCCCCACACUGGUACUGAGACACGGACCAGACUCCUACGGAGGCAGCAGUGAGGAAUAUUGGACAAUGGGUGCAAGCCUGAUCCAGCCAUCCCG
rnacentral:rRNA from 1 species